GCGAAUUCGCCCUUAGAGUUUGAUCAUGGCUCAGAACGAACGCUGGCGGCAGGCCUAACACAUGCAAGUCGAGCGCACCUUCGGGUGAGCGGCGGACGGGUUAGUAACGCGUGGGAACGUGCCCUUCUCUGCGGAAUAGCCUCUGGAAACGGAGAGUAAUACCGCAUACGCCCUUCGGGGGAAAGAUUUAUCGGAGAAGGAUCGGCCCGCGUUAGAUUAGAUAGUUGGUGGGGUAACGGCCUACCAAGUCUACGAUCUAUAGCUGGUUUUAGAGGAUGAUCAGCAACACUGGGACUGAGACACGGCCCAGACUCCUACGGGAGGCAGCAGUGGGGAAUCUUGGACAAUGGGCGCAAGCCUGAUCCAGCCAUGCCGCGUGAGUGAUGAAGGCCUUAGGGUCGUAAAGCUCUCUCGCCAGGGAUGAUAAUGACAGUACCUGGUAAAGAAACCCCGGCUAACUCCGUGCCAGCAGCCGCGGUAAUACGGAGGGGGUUAGCGUUGUUCGGAAUUACUGGGCGUAAAGCGCACGUAGGCGGACUGGAAAGUAUGGGGUGAAAUCCCAGGGCUCAACCCUGGAACUGCCUCAUAAACUCCCAGUCUUGAGUUCGAGAGAGGUGAGUGGAAUUCCGAGUGUAGAGGUGAAA
rnacentral:rRNA from 1 species